AAUGAAGCCGGGAAACCGGUCCUUCUAACCCUUGAUUAUAAUAAUUUGUUGCUUUGGUGGGCCGCGCAAGCACCGGCUUCGGCUGGAUCGUGCCCGCCAGAGGACCACAACUCUGUAUCAAAUGUCGUCUGGGUACUAUAAAAUAGCCAAAACUUUCAACAACGGAUCUCUUGGUUCU
rnacentral:misc_RNA from 1 species